rnacentral:rRNA from 1 species
AUUGAACGCUGGCGGCAUGCCUUACACAUGCAAGUCGAACGGUAACAGGUCUUCGGAUGCUGACGAGUGGCGAACGGGUGAGUAAUAUAUCGGAACGUGCCCAGUCGUGGGGGAUAACGCAGCGAAAGCUUUGCUAAUACCGCAUACGAUCUACGGAUGAAAGCAGGGGACCGCAAGGCCUUGCGCGGACGGAGCGGCCGAUGGCAGAUUAGGUAGUUGGUGGGAUAAAAGCUUACCAAGCCGACGAUCUGUAGCUGGUCUGAGAGGACGACCAGCCACACUGGGACUGAGACACGGCCCAGACUCCUACGGGAGGCAGCAGUGGGGAAUUUUGGACAAUGGGCGAAAGCCUGAUCCAGCCAUGCCGCGUGCAGGAUGAAGGCCUCGGUUGUAACGACUUUGUCAGGAGAAACUUUAGUAUACUCGGGGAGUGACGGUACCUCGAAGAAUAAGACACCGGCGUAACUACGUGCCAGCAGCCGCGGU